UCAGCAGCCAAGCCAUGAGGAGAAGGGACAUGUGAGCAGAGGACAAAGCUUGAGCACAGGCAGAAGGGCAUGAAAUGUGACUGGACCCCCAGGCAGGCUGGACUGGCCAGAAGGCGGAAGCACCUGGCUGGAGGGCCACUUGGCACCAGAGGGAGGAGGUGUUUUUGUGCAGCGCCAAGAGGCUGGGCUUGAUUCCAUAGGAACAAGGCGUACCUUUAAGCAGGGAGUGCUUUUGAGGAAGUACCAAUGGAUGUUGGAAAGGAAUCAUUAAAGUGAAAAACUAGGCAGUGAGAACUGUUAGGACAUGAAAAAUAAGAGCCUGACCAAGGAAGAAGGCAGAUCAGGAAAUGUUUCAGACAUAGGAAACAACGGUUAAUGAUCUUGUUUGUUUUUUUUUUUCAUUUUUUUUCUCUUAGAUUUCAGAGGCUUUGAAAAAAUUUGGUAUCUCAGCAAAUGACACUUCAAUUCUAAUUGUUUACAUUGAAGAGGGAGAAAAACAAAUAAAUCAAGAAUACCUAAUAUCUCAAGUAGAAGGUCAUCAGGUUUCUCUGAAAAAUCUUCCUGAAAUAACGAAUAUUACAGAAGUCAAAAAGAUAUAUAAACUCUCUUCACAAGAAGAAAGUAUUGGGACAUUAUUGGAUGGUAUCAUUUGUAGAAUGUCAACAAAAGAUGUUUUGUGAAAUGUCAGAAAUAUUAACAAAAAUUCUCAGCAUUAAAGAAAACAUUGAUUUUC
rnacentral:sRNA from 1 species